rnacentral:rRNA from 1 species
CCUACGGGUGGCAGCAGUGGGGAAUAUUGGACAAUGGGGGGAACCCUGAUCCAGCCAUGCCGCGUGUGUGAAGAAGGCCCUCGGGUUGUAAAGCACUUUCAGUGAGGAAGAACGCCUGGUGGUUAAUACCCAUCAGGAAAGACAUCACUCACAGAAGAAGCACCGGCUAACUCCGUGCCAGCAGCCGCGGUAAUACGGAGGGUGCGAGCGUUAAUCGGAAUUACUGGGCGUAAAGCGCGCGUAGGUGGCUUGAUAAGCCGGUUGUGAAAGCCCCGGGCUCAACCUGGGAACGGCAUCCGGAACUGUCAAGCUAGAGUGCAGGAGAGGAAGGUAGAAUUCCCGGUGUAGCGGUGAAAUGCGUAGAGAUCGGGAGGAAUACCAGUGGCGAAGGCGGCCUUCUGGACUGACACUGACACUGAGGUGCGAAAACGUGGGUAGCAAACAGGAUUAGAUACCCUUGUAGUC